GGGAUUGAAUUAACAGGUCAGCCUGCCAGUGACCAAGUUAAACGGCCGCGGUACCCUAACCGUGCAAAGGUAGCGCAAUCACUUGUUCUUUAAAUGAGGACUAGUAUGAACGGCAUCACGAGGGUUAUGCUGUCUCCCCACUCUAUUCAGUGAAACUGAUCUCCCCGUGAAGAAGCGGGGAUAAAAAUAUAAGACGAGAAGACCCCAUGGAGCUUUAAACUCAGUAUCAACUGCUUUACAAAUUAACCUAACAUUUAUGCAACUCUGAUUACUAGUUUUCGGUUGGGGUGACCACGGAGUAUAAAACAACCUCCACGACGAAAGGAAGUAACAACCUAAAUCAAGAGUUACAACUCUAAAUAUCAACAAAUUGACUAAAUUGAUCCAAUAAAUUGAUCAACGAACCAAGUUACCCUGGGGAUAACAGCGCAAUCCAUUUCAAGAGCUCAUAUCGACAAAUGGGUUUACGACCUCGAUGUUGGAUCAGGGUACCCCAGUGGCGCAGCCGCUACUAACGGUUCGUUUGUUCAACGAUUAAAACCCUACGUGAUCUGAGUUCAGACCCGGACU
rnacentral:rRNA from 1 species